rnacentral:misc_RNA from 1 species
UGGAAGUAAAGUCGUAACAAGGUUUCCGUAGGUGAACCUGCGGAAGGAUCAUUAAUAAAUUUUUUAGUUGAAAUUUGAACCUAAAAUAUAUAAUCUACCCUUUGUGAAUUGUUGUUUGAAAUAAUUUUUAAAAAAUUAUUUAUAGUUUUGUCUAUCCCUGAGUUGUAAGAAGUAAAUUCUUGAAGCUUAGGGAUAGGCUUUAUCUAUAAAUAAUGAUUUAAAGACCUUUUUUAAAUUAACUUUUGUAUUCAUUUUCUAAAUUAUUUUAAUAAUUUAAAAACAACUUUUGACAAUGGAUCUCUUGGUUCUCGCAACGAUGAAGAACGCAGCAAAAUGCGAUAAGUAAUGUGAAUUGCAGAAUACGUGAAUCAUCAAAUCUUCGAACGCAUAUUGCACUUUUUAGUUUACUAAAAAGUAUGUCUGUUUGAGUAUCAGUAAAAUAUUCUCAUAAAAAAUUUAUUUUUUAUGGUUUGAGUGUUUACAACGAUACAAGUUGUUCACUUUAAAUUGACUUUAAUUGCCUAUUAAUUUAGUCAAUUUUUAAAAUUGCAUAAAAUUUUCCCGUAAAAAGGAAUAACCUAUCAAUUUUAAAUUAACUGAUAUUAAAAGCCUUGAUAAAAGGAAAUUUAAUUAAAUAACUUGAUCUCAAAUCAGAUAAGAGUACCCGCUGAACUUAAGCAUAUCAAUAAGCGGAGGAAAAGAAACUAACAAGGAUUCCCUAGUAACGGCGAGUGAGCGGAAGAGCCAAAUUUGAAAUCUUCAGGUUGACCUUGACGAAUGUAGUUUAAAGAAGUGUUUUCGGUUAGAGGAGUGGUAAAAGUUCUUUGGAAUAGACAUCAUAGAGGUGAGAAUCCGUAUUGACCAUUCUUUCUAGCUUGUGAUACACUUUCAAAGAGUCGGAUUGUUGGAAUGCAGUCCAAAUGGGUGGUAAAUUCAUCUAAAGCUAAAUAUUGGCGAGAGACGAUAGCGAACAAGUACGUGAGGGAAAGAUGAAAGAACUUUGAAAAGAGAGUUAACAGUACGUGAAUUGUCAAAGGAAGCGUUUGACACCAGUGUUGUUUUCCGAAAAUCAAUAAAAUGGAUUCAUGCCAAUUGUAUUGACUUAUCAGCUUGCAAUUUGGUUUUGGUUCUUUUUGAUGCACUUUUCGGUUAACAAGUCAACAUCAAUUUCCUUUGCUGUAAAAGGGCAGAAGGAAGGUGGCUUCAAUUUCGUUGAAGUGUUUAUAGCUUUUGUCUCUGCAGUCGGGAGAUUGAGGUCUGCAGCGUAGAUCCUUCGGGUUAGAUACAUUCGUGCUAAGUAUAGCCUUUUAUAGACAACUUGUUGACUAUGAUCGGUCUUGUAAUUUACUCGCGAGUGCUAUUUUACCUACGCUUAGGAUGUUGAA